rnacentral:rRNA from 1 species
UACGUAGGGGGCAAGCGUUGUCCGGAAUCAUUGGGCGUAAAGAGCGUGUAGGCGGCUCGAUAAGUCUGCUGUGAAAGUCCAGGGCUCAACCCUGGAAGGCCGGUGGAAACUGUCGGGCUAGAGUCCGGAAGAGGCGAGUGGAAUUCCUGGUGUAGCGGUGAAAUGCGCAGAUAUCAGGAGGAACACCGAUGGCGAAGGCAGCUCACUGGGACGGUACUGACGCUGAGGCGCGAAAGCGUGGGGAGCAAACAGG